rnacentral:rRNA from 1 species
AAACCAACCGGGAUUGCCUUAGUAACGGUGAGUGAAGCGGCAAAAGCUCAAAUUUGAAAUCUGGUACCUUCGGUGCCCGAGUUGUAAUUUGGAGAGGGCAACUUUGGGGCCGUUCCUUGUCUAUGUUCCUUGGAACAGGACGUCAUAGAGGGUGAGAAUCCCGUGUGGCGAGGAGUGCGGUUCUUUGUAAAGUGCCUUCGAAGAGUCGAGUUGUUUGGGAAUGCAGCUCUAAGUGGGUGGUAAAUUCCAUCUAAAGCUAAAUAUUGGCGAGAGACCGAUAGCGAACAAGUACAGUGAUGGAAAGAUGAAAAGAACUUUGAAAAGAGAGUGAAAAAGUACGUGAAAUUGUUGAAAGGGAAGGGCAUUUGAUCAGACAUGGUGUUUUGUGCCCUCUGCUCCUUGUGGGUAGGGGAAUCUCGCAUUUCACUGGGCCAGCAUCAGUUUUGGUGGCAGGAUAAAUCCAUAGGAAUGUAGCUUGC